rnacentral:antisense_RNA from 1 species
CUCAAUGGUGGCUGUGCGCAUGGCGCCCUCGGGCGCGCCGGUUUAGGUAUGUCACCGGUCUACUAACCUGCGCACAGCCGCCUCCCUA